rnacentral:rRNA from 1 species
AGCAUGUGGUUUAAUUCGACGCAACGCGCAGAACCUUACCAGCCCUUGACAUGGGGUCGCGGGUACCAGAGACGGUACCCUUCAGUUCGGCUGGACCCCACACAGGUGCUGCAUGGCUGUCGUCAGCUCGUGUCGUGAGAUGUUGGGUUAAGUCCCGCAACGAGCGCAACCCUCAUCUUCAGUUGCCAGCGGUUAGGCCGGGCACUCUGAAGAAACUGCCGGUGACAAGCCGGAGGAAGGUGGGGAUGACGUCAAGUCCUCAUGGCCCUUAUGGGCUGGGCUACACACGUGCUACAAUGACGGUGACAACGGGAAGCGACAGGGCGACCUUGAGCUAAUCCCCAAAAGCCGUCUCAGUUCGGAUUGUACUCUGCAACUCGGGUGCAUGAAGGCGGAAUCGCUAGUAAUCGCGGAUCAGCACGCCGCGGUGAAUACGUUCCCGGGCCUU